AGCUAAUACUUGCUUUAGCACUCUUGAUUAAGUUCUUGAGUGUGUACUUGUUAAGCCUUUUAAGAAAAAAGUUAUUAACUUAAGGAAUUAUAACAAAGAAGCAACACGUAAAUGGAUUUUCCAUUUUUUAGUGUGUAUCAAUCGAGUUUCUGACCUAUCAGCUUUUGAUGUUAGGGUAUUGGCCUAACAUGGCUAUGACGGGUAACGGGGAAUUAGAGUUCGAUUCCGGAGAGGGAGCCUGAGAAAUAGCUACCACAUCUGAGGAAGGCAGCAGGCGCGUAAAUUACCCAAUUCUAAAGAAGAGAGGUAGUGACAAGAAAUAACAAUACAAGGCCAAUCUGGCUUUGUAAUUGGAAUGAUGGGAAUUUAAAACCUUCCCAAAACUCAAUUGGAGGGCAAGUCUGGUGCCAGCAGCCGCGGUAAUUCCAGCUCCAAUAGCGUAUAUUAAAAUUGUUGCAGUUAAAACGCUCGUAGUUGAAUUUCAAAGAAUCGAUAUUUUAAGUAGCACUUUGUAGAUUAAUCCACAUAACUGAUACUACGUAUCGACUUUGUGCGCAUUUUUCUACUUAUGUGUUCUUUUAAUUAAAAUGAUUCUUUUUAAGAUCUUUCUUUUUUGCUUCGGCAUUUUAGGAGAUCUUGUUACUUUGAGUAAAUUAGAGUGUUCAAAGCAAACAGAUUAUAGCAUCUUUAUGCGUUUGAAUACUACAGCAUGGAAUAACAAAAUUGAACAAGUCAGAAUUUUGUUCUUUUUUCUUAUUUUGGCUUAGUUACGAUUAAUAGGAGUAGCUUGGGGGCAUUUGUAUUCAGAUGUCAGAGGUGAAAUUCUUAGAUUUUCUGGAGACAAACAACUGCGAAAGCAUUUGCCUAAAAUACUUCCAUUAAUCAAGAACGAAAGUUAAGGGAGUGAAGACGAUCAGAUACCGUCGUAAUCUUAACCAUAAACUAUGCCGACUAGGCUUUGGAUGAAAGAUUUUAAAAUAAGAGUUUUUUCUCUGAGGAGUUAAAACUCUUAGAUUGCUUCCUUCAGUGCCUUAUGAGAAAUCAAAGUCUUUGGGUUCUGGGGCGAGUAUUCGCGCAAGCGAGAAAGUUAAAAGAAUUGACGGAAGGGCACCACCAGGCGUGGAGCUUGCGGCUUAAUUUGACUCAACACGGGAAAACUCACUAGUUUAAGACAAGAGUAGGAUUGACAGAUUAAUAGCUCUUUCUUGAUUUCUUGGAUGGUGAUGCAUGGCCGUUUUUAGUUCGUGAAUAUGAUUUGUCUGGUUAAUUCCGAUAACGAACGAGAUCUUAACCUGCUAAUUAGCGGCAAAUACGAUAUAUUCUUAUGUGGAAUUGAAUAUAGUUGAUUUGCUUAUUUUGAAGAAAAUAUUGGGAUACGUAAAUGUAUCCCUUUCCCUUUUCUACUUAAUUUGCUUAUCAUACUAUUUCUUCUUUGCGUAAGAAUGUAUUUGCUUGAUUGUAAAGCUUCUUAGAGGAACGAUGUGUGUCUAACACAAG
rnacentral:rRNA from 1 species